rnacentral:rRNA from 1 species
GAUGAACGCUGGCGGCGUGCCUAAUACAUGCAAGUCGAGCGAACAGACGAGGAGCUCGCUCCUCUGACGUUAGCGGCGGACGGGUGAGUAACACGUGGAUAACCUACCUAUAAGACUGGGAUAACUUCGGGAAACCGGAGCUAAUACCGGAUAAUAUAUUGAACCGCAUGGUUCAAUAGUGAAAGACGGUUUUGCUGUCACUUAUAGAUGGAUCCGCGCCGCAUUAGCUAGUUGGUAAGGUAACGGCUUACCAAGGCAACGAUGCGUAGCCGACCUGAGAGGGUGAUCGGCCACACUGGAACUGAGACACGGUCCAGACUCCUACGGGAGGCAGCAGUAGGGAAUCUUCCGCAAUGGGCGAAAGCCUGAUGGAGCAACGCCGCGUGAGUGAUGAAGGUCUUCGGAUCGUAAAACUCUGUUAUUAGGGAAGAACAAAUGUGUAAGUAACUAUGCACGUCUUGACGGUACCUAAUCAGAAAGCCACGGCUAACUACGUG